UCAGAUCGCCUCUUUGUUAACUUCACACUGAGUGAUUGUCACUCACGUGAACGAGCACCGAUUUGCCUCCGAUGUCGGGCAUUUGUCGG